GCGGGCGUGGCGGAACGGUAGACGCGCGGGGUUUAGGUCCCCGUCCCCUCCGGGGGGUGGAGGUUCGACUCCUCUCGCCCGCA
rnacentral:tRNA from 1 species